rnacentral:misc_RNA from 1 species
GAUGAAGAACGCAGCGAAAUGCGAUAAGUAAUGUGAAUUGCAGAAUUCAGUGAAUCAUCGAAUCUUUGAACGCACAUUGCGCCCAUUAGUAUUCUAGUGGGCAUGCCUGUUCGAGCGUCAUUUCAACCCUCAAGCACUGCUUGUGUGUUGGGCUUCCGUCCCUGGCAACGGGGACGGGCCCAAAAGGCAGUGGCGGCACCAUGUCUGGUCCUCGAGCGUAUGGGGCUUUGUCACCCGCUCCCGUAGGUCCAGCUGGCAGCUAGCCUCGCAACCAAUCUUUUUAACCAGGUUGACCUCGGAUCAGGUAGGGAUACCCGCUGAACUUAAGCAUAUCAAUAAGCGGAGGA